AAGGAAAAAAUCAUUUAUUUUAAAAAUAUUUUUGGACUUAGAAAAAAAAAUUUUAUUUUUAUUAUUUAGUAAGAAAAAAGUUUAUUUAUUAUAGAGAAUUAGUAUUGACAGAGAAAUUUUUAUUUUUAUUAUAGAAGAAUUUGUUUUUUGUACCUUGUGUAUCAGGGUUUAUUAAUUAGGAUUUUUGGAUUAAAUUUUCUCGAGUUUAAAAGAGCUAUUAAAAUGUAAUUUUUAUUGUAGAAUAAAUAUUAUGGACAUUUUCAUAGAAGUGAAACGCUAACCGAUUUUAAAUAUAUCUAGUUUUUUAAGAAAAAAAUUUAAUUUAAUUUUUAUUUAAUUAUAAAGCUAUUUUUUUAGCUUUAUGAUAUUAAAAUUGUAUAUUUUUAGGGAUGAGCUUAAAAGUAGAUUAAUAUAAUUAAUUUUAGAAUUAUUUAAUAAAUAGGAUUUUUAGUUUCCAUUUUUAUUAGUGUUUUAUCACUGGUUAAAUAUUUAAUAUAAUUUUUAUUUAAUUUAUAUUUUUUAUUAAAAUAUAGGUUUAAAUUUUUAAAAUUUAGAAAUAAUGAUAAAAUUAGUAUAAUAAAUUGUUUAAAUUUUUUAAAGAAUUUAGGUUAAGUAAAGGAAUUCGGCAAAGGCAUUUUUCACCUGUUUAUUAAAAACAUGGCUUUUUGAGAAUAAUUUAAAGUCUGGCCUGCCCAAUGAGUAGUUUAAUGGCCGCGGUAUUUUAACCGUGCAAAGGUAGCAUAAUCAUUAGUUUCUUAAUUGGGAGCUUGUAUGAAGGGUUGAAUGAAAAAAUAGCUGUCUCUAUUUAAAUUAGUUAAAAUUUUAUUUUUAAGUCAAAAAGCUUAAAUAAUUAUUGAAGACGAGAAGACCCUAUAGAGUUUGAUAUUGGCAUUAUUUUGAUUCUUUGGGAUUUAAAGAUUUUUAUUAAUUCAGUAUUUUAUUGGGGUGAUUGAAAAAUUAAUUGAACUUUUUCUUUAUAUAAUCAUUAAUUUAUGAAUAAUUGAUCCUUAAAAAAGAUUAUAAGAUAAAAUUACCUUAGGGAUAACAGCGUAAUUUUUUUUUAGAGUUCUAAUCGAAAAAAAAGAUUGCGACCUCGAUGUUGGAUUAAAAUGAAAUUCUGGUGUAGCAGCUAGGAGUUUGGGUCUGUUCGACCUUUGAAAUUUUACAUGAUCUGAGUUUAAACCGGUGUGAGCCAGGUUGGUUUCUAUCUCGAUAAAUAUAAAAUAUUUUAGUACGAAAGGACCAAAUAUUUAAUUUGUAAUUUAAAAUAGGAAUACUAUUAAUAUAAA
rnacentral:rRNA from 1 species